CUAAAAUCGCCUCUCUGAUCACUGUGAACAACAUUACUUGCUAGAGAUUACCUGGAUACUGCAGAUUUUUUGGCUGAAAAGCCUCUGCCAGAGACCUCUGUCUCUGUGUUGGGGGUCUGGUUUGGCGUUCUCCCCCCUCCUCCUUCAUCAACUUUGUUUGAAGCUCGGAGUUCUCUCUCUGGUGAACUUUAAUAUGUUUGUGCAAAUUGGUGGUGUUACCACAGUGGCGAAUAAUCUUUUUGCACACAUCACAUGUGGAAGAGUCUGUAUCAGCUGGAGUAUAAAAACUCCACACAGCGCUUCUCUUUCUUUCCGCUAUAUUCUGCUUCUCUCACUGUUCUGACUCUCCACUCUCCGCCUCCGUUAGCCAGAGAAGGGGAGGGGCAAAGAGAGAGGGGUGCGUUUUUUGCACGGAGACUUGGAGAGAGCUGUGCUCGCUUGAACUCGGAGAGAAAAGUAACAAUUAUCGAUCCCAAUGCUCAUCUUGGUAUAGAUAUUUAGAUCGAUACGACCAGCCCUACUAUAUAUUCAAUUUUGCGAGCUUAAUUUUUAUCUUUAUGUUUAUUUUUUCGCGAACUGAAUUGAGGAGAGACGCGCUGCACCAUGACAGUACUCCGAGACACAGUAAUACCUUUCUGGGCUGUGUGUAUGGUCUUACUGGAGCCACAGUCGUAUGCCCAAGGUCCAAACACUUUGCGUAAGUGUUUUGAAUGCAAUGACGGGUGCCCAAAGAUGGACUGCAUUUUUAACACAAAGACAAAUGAAAAAUUGUGGGAAGAAAGUGGAGCAAAGCAAGGCCUACUUAAAUGUCCCCGCACCCCUCCUCCCAUGACUGGACAGUGUGUUCCCUGUUUAGAGGACCUCCAGGUCCUCAUUGUGUGUUCCAACGUGUCUGCGGAGAUCGAGCUGGACCUGGAGGCCUCUGAUGGGAACCACUUCUCCUACACUGCUGCCACUUGCCCUACACUGGAGACUGGUAAACCUGUCAGUCAUUCUGGACACAUGGGGCCAAGCUUCUUGACCAUCAUUUUCCUCGCUGGCUUCAUCAUACUAUCAAAAUGUGUGUGAAUCCCUCAAGAAAAUUGUUUUGCAUUGUUUUUUACAUUGUUUUAUUCACAUGUUCUGUGGUUUUAGUUUGGGUUUAAACUGCAGCUGCUAGUGAAGACGUCAAACUACAAGCGUUAUAGUGAGAUUCAGCUAUCUUUGGUUGUCUUGCAUGAACCGCACGUUUGAGAUAUCCCCAGAGUGGCUCGAUGAUAUUAAGGUCAGGAGACUGUGAUGGCCACUCCAGAACCUUCACCUUUUCUGCUGUAACCACUGGAGGGUCAACUUGGCCUUGUGCUUAGGGUCAUUGUCGUGCAGGGAAGUCCAAGAGAGUCCCAUGAGCAGCUUUCGUGCAGAAGAAUACAAAUUGUCUGCCAGUAUUUUCUGAUAACAUGCUACAUUCCUCUUGCCAUACAUUUUCACACGAUUCCCCCUUCCUUUAGAGCUCACACACCCCCAAAACAUCAGUGAGCCACCACCAUGCUUCACAGUGGGGAUGGUAUUCUGUUCACUAUAGGCCUUGUUGACCCCUCUCCAAACAAUAUUGUAACCAGGCUUUUUUGUGGCAUUGGCACAGUAAAUGCUUCUUUCUGGCAACUCGGCCAUGCAGCUCAUUUUUGUUCAAUUAUUGUCUUAUUGUGAUCUUUUUCCAGAGUAGUCUGUAUUUCUCCUGAGGUUACCUCUGGGUUUUUCUUUCUAUCUCGAACAAUUCCUCUGGCAGAUUUUGCUGCAAUCUUUCUUGGCCUACCUGACCUUUGCUUGGUAUCAAGAGAUCUCCAAAUGUUCCACUUCAUGUGAUUGAACAGUACUGCCUGUCAUUUGCAAGGCUUUUGAUAUCUUUUUAUAUCAUUUUCCAUCUUUAUAAAGUUCCAUUACCUUGUUUUAUGCAUGUCAUUUGACAGUUACUUUUUGCUCCCCAUGGCUCAGUAUCUAGACUGCUCAGUGCAUCCACAUGAAAGCUAACAAACUCAUUGACUAUUUAUAUGCAGACACUAAUUGCAAUUUAAUAAGCCACAGGUUGGGAAAUUCACCUUUAAUUGCCAUUCUCACCUGUGUGUGUGUCACCUUGUGUGUCUGUAACAAGGCCAAACAUUCAAGGGUAUGUCAACUUUUGACCGGGGUCAUUUGGGUGAUUUCUGUUAUCAUUAUGAUUUAAAAUGGAGCCAAGUGUCAUAAUAAAUAAUAAAUGGAACAAUGUCAUGAUAAAUGGCUUCAUAUGAUCACUAUCCUUUAAUAAAAUAAUUUUAAUCAGUCAUAUUUUCAAAAUACUUUCCGGUUACGGAUAAGCGGAUGAAGAUGAGAUGAGAGAUUUUCAAAAACCAAUGCCAAAAUGGCGUGGUCACGUUGCGUUGGGACCGUUUACGCAUUCUCUGAACAAUUGAAGGUUUUCUUUCUGCUCAUUUAUCUUGUUUUCCAGGUCGGUAAAGUACAAAAGUAAACCUGAAAUGUCGAUUACGGUUUCAUAACUUGUCUGUUAGAGUGUAUGUAGAGGGUUGGAAAAGCAUAAUUUUGUAACUAUUAACAGGACAAAACAUGUCAAUGCAAAAUGCCAUGAUGGUGGUGUAUUCCUUUGAAAAAACGAAUUUGUUACUGUACUGUACUCGUGAACAGUUUUAAAACAACAUUCACCUUAAUAUCCCUAGGAUUGAUAUCAUUUAAUUUUGUGACUGUAUUGUUUAGAUACUUUGCAAUUGUUGCACUGUAAGGAUUAGCGAUUAGUUAGUUCCUGUUAGCUGGCUGGGCUGGUUUUGAGCUGGCUCCAGUUAGCUGUAUUCUGGUUCCAGGCAAGUGUGUGUUAGUUUUUAUACUUUGCUUGCCUAGCACUUUGCUAGCUUGCGGAGCCAUGUCCUAUUCUCCUCAACAUGGUUAUUUGCAAUUGUCUCAUCCUUUUACUAGAUUGUACUACACUAGCUGAGGAUUAAGGUAUUUUACACACGGUUACCAAAUUACUACUGUGUAAGCACUGAAAACUGAUGUAAAAAGGCUUGACAAAAUAAAAUGUGAUUGAUU
ensembl:lncRNA